rnacentral:rRNA from 1 species
GGGUAACGGGGGGGGCGUGCCUAUACAUGCAAGUCGAGCGAAUGGAUUAAGAGCUUGCUCUUAUGAAGUUAGCGGCGGACGGGUGAGUAACACGUGGGUAACCUGCCCAUAAGACUGGGAUAACUCCGGGAAACCGGGGCUAAUACCGGAUAACAUUUUGAACCGCAUGGUUCGAAAUUGAAAGGCGGCUUCGGCUGUCACUUAUGGAUGGACCCGCGUCGCAUUAGCUAGUUGGUGAGGUAACGGCUCACCAAGGCAACGAUGCGUAGCCGACCUGAGAGGGUGAUCGGCCACACUGGGACUGAGACACGGCNCCAGACUCCUACGGGAGGCAGCAGUAGGGAAUCUUCCGCAAUGGACGAAAGUCUGACGGAGCAACGCCGCGUGAGUGAUGAAGGCUUUCGGGUCGUAAAACUCUGUUGUUAGGGAAGAACAAGUGCUAGUUGAAUAAGCUGGCACCUUGACGGUACCUAACCAGAAAGCCACGGCUAACUACGUGCCAGCAGCCGCGGUAAUACGUAGGUGGCAAGCGUUAUCCGGAAUUAUUGGGCGUAAAGCGCGCGCAGGUGGUUUCUUAAGUCUGAUGUGAAAGCCCACGGCUCAACCGUGGAGGGUCAUUGGAAACUGGGAGACUUGAGUGCAGAANGAGGAAAGUGGAAUUCCAUGUGUAGCGGUGAAAUGCGUAGAGAUAUGGAGGAACACCAGUGGCGAAGGCGACUUUCUGGUCUGUAACUGACACUGAGGCGCGAAAGCGUGGGGAGCAAACAGGAUUAGAUACCCUGGUAGUCCACGCCGUAAACGAUGAGUGCUAAGUGUUAGAGGGUUUCCGCCCUUUAGUGCUGAAGUUAACGCAUUAAGCACUCCGCCUGGGGAGUACGGCCGCAAGGCUGAAACUCAAAGGAAUUGACGGGGGCCCGCACAAGCGGUGGAGCAUGUGGUUUAAUUUGAAGCAACGCGAAGAACCUUACCAGGUCUUGACAUCCUUUGACAACCCUAGAGAUAGGGCUUUUCCUUUGGGAGCAGAGUGACAGGUGGUGCAUGGUUGUUGUCAGCUCGUGUCGUGAGAUGUUGGGUUAAGUCCCGCAACGAGCGCAACCCUUGAUUUUAGUUGCCAUCAUUAAGUUGGGCCCUUUAAGGUGACUGCCGGUGACAAACCGGAGGAAGGUGGGGAAGACGUCAAAUCAUCAUGCCCCUUAUGACCUGGGCUACACACGUGCUNACAAUGGACGGUACAAAGAGCUGCAAGACCGCGAGGUGGAGCUAAUUUCAUAAAACCGUUUUCAGUUCGGAUUGUAGGCUGCAACUUGCCUACAUGAAGCUGGAAUCGCUAGUAAUCGCGGAUCAGCAUGCCGCGGUGAAUACGUUCCCGGGCCUUGUACACCCCGCCCGUCACCCCCCGAGAGUUUGUAACCCCCGAAGUCGGUGGGGUAACCUUUUGGAGCCAGCCGCCUAAGGUGACAGAUGAUGGG